UGAGUACCAAUGAGACAUCUCUCCAUUCAAGACACCCUUUGUAAAAGUAAACAACUAUAGAUCAAAGUACAGUCUUCAACACGGAGCCUUGGCUAACACCAAAAGGCAAGUUAUAAUGGCCCUAAACAUAACUUGUGUAAAACCAUUCAAACUGGAAAUCCAACGGUCUAAUCUAUACGAAAAAUGAGAAACGAGAAACACGUAUUGUAUAUAUAUAUUGUUUUAUACAACCAUACCAUAUUAAAAAAUAAAAACCCAUCUGAA
rnacentral:lncRNA from 1 species